rnacentral:rRNA from 1 species
UUGGACCUACGGGGGGCAGCAGUGGGGAAUAUUGCACAAUGGGGGAAACCCUGAUGCAGCGACGCCGCGUGAGUGAAGAAGUAUUUCGGUAUGUAAAGCUCUAUCAGCAGGGAAGAAAAAAGACGGUACCUGACUAAGAAGCCCCGGCUAACUACGUGCCAGCAGCCGCGGUAAUACGUAGGGGGCAAGCGUUAUCCGGAUUUACUGGGUGUAAAGGGAGCGUAGACGGUUGUGCAAGUCUGAAGUGAAAGCCCGCGGCUCAACUGCGGAACGGCUUUGGAAACUGUGUAACUGGAGUGCUGGAG